CUGUGCAGUCUAUAACACAUAUGAAAAAUAAAUAUGUUCCUUUAACUUAGCCUUCUUAAGGAUUGUUGUAGGAACAGUAUAAAACAGUGUGGUCAACAUAAGAGAUGAGAGCUACCAUGCUGUAAAGAUAGCUCUGUCACUUGAGAGUCUGGCACACAUGCAUGGUGACCUAAAUUUGAUCCCCUAUAUCCUUAUAAAAAGCUAAGCAUGGUGGUGUAGGCAUGUAAUCUUGGCUUGGGUAGGUCAUAGUGGCAUUUGUUUGUAAUUCCAGCACUAGGGAGGUGAAGGCAAGUAGAAUCCUGUUCUCUAGCCAGCUAGCCUAGACUUAUCAGCAAACCUCAGGUCCCAAUUCUCAAAAUCAAUGGUAGACAGCUGCUGUGGGACAACACCUGAGGCUGACCUCUGACCUCCACUGUCAGGGACAUAGACACAGAUACUCACACUCACAUGUUCACUCGUGCACAUGCACGCACGCAAACACACACACACAUACACUGAGGAGAGGAAGAGGGGAGUAAAGUUAUCAAGGAACAGAUGUGCCACUGUCUAUAUAGUGAUCAGCACUAAAGAACUGGAGGGAGAAAGCCCAAUGGUGAAAAAAGGGGGUCACUAUCUCAGGGCUGCUUACACAUGCAGAGUCGUGUGAAGGGUUACUUUGCUCCAGUUACUGCUCUCAUUGUCGGUUCUGUUUAUUGGCUUACUCUGUUAUUUGGUAUAAUUGGUAUCUUACUAAAGACAUUUAGUUAGGUGUGUAGGUGUAUUUGAAUAUAUUUCGUCUGUAUGUGUCUGGUAUAUAAUGUACAAAUAUAACAUUUGAGUGUAAGUAUCAACAUUUGUGGCAAUUUUCCUAAGAACGUAUCCCAUGCAUCUGUGUUGAGAUAAGAGUGCUAUAAUUAUGACAAUUAAAGACAUUUAAAAGGAGUGAGCAGAUUUGUUUCUCUUUGUAGUCAUUUAUUUACCCUGGUAGCUGAACUCAAUACAGUCACUCCUUUUUAGUUUACUUUUAUCCAAUAUGGGAUGACCUGUUUUAAUUGAGCCUUUUUCCCUAAAAAAAGAAUCGAAACUUGCACAGCUAGCUAGCUCAACUCUUAGUUCUUAUAGUGAACAUGAAAUUUAUCUCCUAAAGAAAUUCUUACAAAAAUUGCUGAAAACUGGAUCCUGCAUGGAAUUUAUAAUUGAAGGCAUUUAGACUUUCUAAUACUGGUCUAAUGUGAAAUGUGCCUGUUUUCAAGAAUGUAGUUAUUUCCUUGUGAUUGGAAAGUCAUAGAAAAUUAGUAUUGUUCUACAAAAAAAAAAAAAAAGUUAAAAGGUCUUCUUGUUCACUGAAUACAUGGCAUCUUUCUUGAAAAAGGUCUCUGUUUCUCCCUCACUCACUCUGGCUGGCACCUGUUCUGCCUUCAUUCUCUUUCUGGUAGCAACUUUUGGCAAAUGCAUGGCCUCUAGCUUCCCUCAGGAUAGUUCAGCUUCAAUGCCACAAGAAUUUCUUAGUUUCUUCUACUCAAACUCUUGAAAAUGAUUUAUUUUAUAAGAUCGUAAGUGACAGGCCAAUGGACUUGCCGUAUCAGCUCAAUCCCUUCCCAGAUUUAAUCAGUCAUGAGUGAGGAUGACCCCUUAUUGUCCUGAAGUAUGUCUGGCAGCAAUGUAGCCUCCCAAGAAGGAGCAGAUGGUGAGAACGCAUUGUGAUUGACACUCUCUCAACAUGCUAUGCCUGGUUCAGGGCUCCCAACUACUAACAAGACCAUUAUUUAAAUGUUAUUUCCUCAAAGAAAUCCCAAACUCUACUCUGUGUGUGCUACCAACAUAUGUUCCAUUAUACUCUAGGGCUCCAUCAUAAACAUCUAUGUCUCUGUCUUGCGAUCAAGCCCUUCCCCUGUAUUAUUAUAGCUUCUCUGUUUUCUCAUAAUCUCUUAAGCCUGUGGCAACAGGAGCAGCAUUUGCCCCACUCAUCCUUCUGUACCCUCUGACCUAAUGCCGGGUUUAUUAGCAGUGUCCUAUCAUGUAUUAAGUCAUUGCUUAUAAUCAUUGUUUUGAUUUUUAUUAAACUAUGACUUUUGCUGUUAGUGAUAUUAUAAGGAUGUGUCACACAGACCUUCUGACUAGCCCCUCUCUCCAACUUGUCAUGUGUUCUGUGCCUUCUUCCUCUCCCUUUGGUUUGUAAUGUCUUCUUUAUUCUCAGGGCCAUCAUCCUACUCUCACUGGUUUCACCUUUCCUUAUCUGGUCUCCCUGACUGCUGCUAUAUCCUACAAGACUCUCUAGAAAUUGGCUCUUCAUAGCUUUCUCUGUAUAUU
rnacentral:lncRNA from 1 species